rnacentral:rRNA from 1 species
AACGAACGUUGGCGGCGUGGAUUAGGCAUGCAAGUCGAACGAAUACCACCUGGGUAACUGGGUGGAGGAAGUGGCGAAAGGGGCAGUAAGGCGUGGGUAACCUGCCCCGGAGUUCGGAAUAGCCUUCCUAACGGAUGGGUAAUACCGAAUGCCGUGCCGAUGGGGCCUCCUAUCGGUACGAAAGCUCCGGCGCUCCGGGAGGGGCUCACGUAGUAUUAGCUAGUUGGUGGGGUAACGGCCCACCAAGGCCAAGAUGCUUAGCAGGUGUGAGAGCACGACCUGCGUCACUGGCACUGGGACACUGGCCAGACUCCUACGGGAGGCUGCAGUCGAGGAUCUUCGGCAAUGGGCGCAAGCCUGACCGAGCGACGCCGCGUGUGCGAUG